CUCAAAUGUCACCUGGAGGUGGAAGAGACAAAAUCCUCCCUUGGUUGAGAACCAUUGAUGAAGAAUUAGAGAUCUUUGCAUGUCCACUGGCUGGAAGACUAUAAAGAGGUGUCUUCUGUAUGUCUGCUUCCCUAGGAGCUCCUAACUUUUGGCAAUCAUGUUUCUGCAUAGAUGAUUUUACCUCCACCAGACAUAUCAGUGUUAUAGAUCAGUGCUUAUGUUACCUUACCGUACAUCCCUACCGAGAGCAACAAGGAGCUGUGUAUAGUUCACCAAAUCAAACUUCUAUAAAAUCAACAAUGUAAUCCAGAAAACCCCAGGUUUAUUGGGGAUCUAUUAAGUGUGUUCACUGUAUCACCUCUCGUUCUUUCAACUCUCCUGAGGGAUAGGUAUCAGUAACCUCAUUUUAUGAGUGAGAAAUUUGACGCUCAGAAUAGUUAACCUGGGAGUGGGAGCUAGGAUUUCAUCCCAGAUGCAGUUUGCUCCAAAGCUCAUGUAACUUCCUUGUUUCUGAGUGCCUCACAAUGUUCUCGAUGAAAUGCUGCACUGCACGGCUCUGGAGCAGUGUCAUGCAGUGGUCCUGUUGCCUCUGGAGCCACACAGAUUGUGCCACACACAGGCAGGCUUCCAGCAUGCUGUCUGCCAAGAACUCUGGGGGCCUGCAUCACUCUCCCAGGCUGACCUUGCAAUGCUUUGUAGAUUCCCAGGAAACUCGAGCACCUCUUUCAAGCGCUUUACUGUCUUUGGAUAUUGGCCAAACCUUCUUCCACUUGUCUUAUUUGAAUUGUGACUGUGAUAAAAAUUCCUCCUUCAGGGAAUGAGGUGGCCUGAUCUGAGCUCACUAUUCUAGAAGCACAUUCUGAGAAGUUGUGCCCUCAAGACUAUCUUUUGUCAUUUCAGUGCUACUGGUGGACUUGUCUCCUCCAGAGUCCCCAGAUCUUUGGAGGUCAUAUUGCCAAUGUAAACUUGCAGCAAUUACCUAUAAAGUUCCAAACAAAAGUCUCGCUGGCCUAUUUUUAUGAACCUCAAAAGUUUUGAGCAAACACUGCUGAAAAGUCAGCCUUCAAGGAAUGCUACCCUUCUCUACUUUGCAAAGCAGAGUGCCAAAACUGGAGGAGGGAAAGACAUACUUUUUCAGCCUUUGGGCGAUUUUUGAGUUCCGGUAGCGCUCAAAAUCAACUUCAUCUGUUCAGAGGUGGUGACUGUCCAGUAGAUGAAGACACUGAUCCUGUCUGAUAAACCAGACUUGGCGUCAGUGUAGACACCGCCUUAGUGGUUCCUCUUGUAAACUGAGCCUUGCAGUGCAGACGUGUGACCAAGGUUAUCCCUGGAAAGAACGUCAUGGGCCUCAGUGGAAAGUUGCUGGACAAGCCCCAGACUGUGUUAUGAAACAAACCCUUGUUUCCAGGGUGGGACACUUGCUGAAUGAUCUGUGUUAUGUGGUUGCAAGUAAGAAUGACAAAAAUAAAGCAUCCUUAAUUUCUGGGAAAGUCAGUGCUCGAACUUCAAGAAUGAGUUAUUGAGGGAGGGGAUGACGUCUCCUGGGUUGGGAGGUCUACUGGAGAAAGCCCAAUAGCUUUCCCAACUGGGGCCGCUUCAUCACCCCUGGGGACUGAGCUGUGUUUCUUGGGCUGGAGAACAGAAGGAGCCGGUAGUUCAUCAUGUUGACAGCCAGUCAUGGGGGCCUGGAGGCCUGUGUUCCCAAUCACAGGGUUCCUGCCUUCUCUUCUCCCACCAAAUCCUUGCCUGGGGCCCCUGCCUCUCCCUGGUGAGAUUUCUGCUUUCAAAUCCC
rnacentral:lncRNA from 1 species